rnacentral:rRNA from 1 species
UCUUGCGCGAUGGGCGAAAGCCUGACGCAGCCAUGCCGCGUGAAUGAUGAAGGUCUUAGGAUUGUAAAAUUCUUUCACCGGGGAAGAUAAUGACGGUACCCGGAGAAGAAGCCCCGGCUAACUUCGUGCCAGCAGCCGCGGUAAUACGAAGGGGGCUAGCGUUGCUCGGAAUUACUGGGCGUAAAGGGCGCGUAGGCGGACAGUUAAGUCAGAAGUGAAAGCCCAGGGCUCAACCUUGGAAUUGCCUUUGAUACUGGCUGUCUUGAGUUCGGGAGAGGUGAGUGGGAUGCCGAGUGUAGAGGUGAAAUUCGUAGAUAUUCGGCGGAACACCAGUGGCGAAGGCGACUCACUGGCCCGAUACUGACGCUGAGGCGCGA